rnacentral:rRNA from 1 species
CAGUAGCCGCGGUAAUACAGAGGGUGCGAGCGUUAAUCGGAUUUACUGGGCGUAAAGCGCGCGUAGGUGGUUUGUUAAGUUGGAUGUGAAAUCCCCGGGCUCAACCUGGGAACUGCAUCCAAAACUGGCAAGCUAGAGUAUGGUAGAGGGUGGUGGAAUUUCCUGUGUAGCGGUGAAAUGCGUAGAUAUAGGAAGGAACACCAGUGGCGAAGGCGACCACCUGGACUGAUACUGACACUGAGGUGCGAAAGCGUGGGGAGCAAACAGGAUUAGAUACCCCCGUAGUCCCUGUCUCUUAUAC